rnacentral:rRNA from 1 species
CCUGGCUCAGAUUGAACGCUGGCGGCAGGCCUAACACAUGCAAGUCGAGCGGUAACAGAUCCAGCUUGCUGGAUGCUGACGAGCGGCGGACGGGUGAGUAAUGCAUAGGAAUUUACCCGAUAGUGGGGGAUAACCUGGGGAAACUCAGGCUAAUACCGCAUACGUCCUACGGGAGAAAGGGGGCUUCGGCUCCCGCUAUCGGAUGAGCCUAUGCCGGAUUAGCUAGUUGGUGAGGUAAUGGCUCACCAAGGCGACGAUCCGUAGCUGGUCUGAGAGGAUGAUCAGCCACAUCGGGACUGAGACACGGCCCGAACUCCUACGGGAGGCAGCAGUGGGGAAUAUUGGACAAUGGGGGCAACCCUGAUCCAGCCAUGCCGCGUGUGUGAAGAAGGCCCUCGGGUUGUAAAGCACUUUCAGUGAGGAAGAACGCCUGAUGGUUAAUACCCGUCAGGAAAGACAUCACUCACAGAAGAAGCACCGGCUAACUCCGUGCCAGCAGCCGCGGUAAUACGGAGGGUGCAAGCGUUAAUCGGAAUUACUGGGCGUAAAGCGCGCGUAGGUGGCUUGAUAAGCCGGUUGUGAAAGCCCCGGGCUCAACCUGGGAACGGCAUCCGGAACUGUCAGGCUAGAGUGCAGGAGAGGAAGGUAGAAUUCCCGGUGUAGCGGUGAAAUGCGUAGAGAUCGGGAGGAAUACCAGUGGCGAA